UCAUAUCACAAGCUGCUGC
rnacentral:siRNA from 1 species